UUAAACAUUUUUAGUAAAAAAUAAUUUUGUUUAUUGAAAAACAUCCACACACACACAAUCCUUUUGUUGUAAUCAAACGCUUAAAUUUGGGAAGUUUGGAGUACAAUCCUUUCUAGUUUUUUAAUAUGUGGACUGUGUAUCCUGAAUUUAGUAAUAUUGUCCUCAACUGCUAGAGGAAGGAAGUCAAGGAGAGAGAUCUAGUGGAUGUAUGUGUCAAGUUGAAAAGACUACAAAAAGAUCUUAGGAUCUUUAAUAAAGAAAAGAUUGGCAAUGUUAAAGUUGAAUAUGAGAAGACAAAGGAAAGAUACGACAAGGCUCAAAUGAAUUUACAACAGAACCCCUAUUGUGUAAAGCUCCAAGAGGAACUAGAGGCAGCUCAUGACAAACAUACCAGCAGCAACAAACAAAUUGAAAGCUUCCUAAGACAAAAAAGCAAGGUAGAUUGGAUAUAAUUUGAGAUGAAAAUUUAACCUAUUUCCAUGCUUGUAUUAAAAAAAAGGGAGGCAAAUAGGAUUACAACCUUUAUUGAUGAGAAUGGCAAGAUUGAGGAUGACUAUCCAAAAGUUAUCACUCAUUUUCUUUCUCAUUUUAAGGAUUUCAUGGGGACUACAAUUGUAACUACAGAAUCUAUUCUUCCACAAAUAGUGAAAGAGGAGCCAUGUCUUUCCUUAAAUUUACAGAUCAAUCUCAUCAAUCCUUUAACUCAGGAGGAUGUGAAGAAAGCACUAUUCUCCAUACCAGAUCUAAAAAGCCCUGGACCGGAUGGCAUCGGGUCAAAAUUCUUCAAGAGUAUGUGGACAGAAUUGGGCGAAGAAAUCUCAUCUACCGUCAUCCAAUUUUUUCAGCAUGGGAAACUACUGAUUCAGCUUAAUGAGACUCUUUUCAUGCUCAUUCCAAAGACUGAAACUCCUUCUCAAGCUGUAGACUAUAGGCCAAUAGCAUGUUGCAACACUUUAUACAAGUGUAUAUCAAAGAUGAUUUGCUCGAGAUUGUCUGAAGUUCUACCGAUCCUUGUAGAUGAGAAUUAAGGUGUGUUCAUUCAAAAUCGUUCUCUUGCUCAUAAUGUUCUCAUUUUACAAGAUUUGUUGAAGGGAUACCAAAGAAAAAACACCUCUCCCAAAUGUUUGGUGAAAAUUGAUCUAAACAAAGCUUAUGAUACAAUUGAUUGGGAGUUCUUGGAAUCUUUGCUGAAAGCCUACUACUUUUCGAGACAAUUUAUUACAUGGAUAAUGAGCUACGUUAGGAAUUUAGUAUAUCUAUUGGUGCUGAAUGGAAAAGUUUAAGGUAGAUUUCAAGGUGCAAAAGGCUUACGAUAAGGGAACCCAAUUUCACCUCUGAUCUUUAUUCUGGUGAUGGAAUAUAUAACUUCGACUCUAAAAUGGAAGACUGGAGAAGUUAAUGAAGCAACUAGACAAGAGAUUCAACAUUUGAUACCCUUUAGCACAGGGAAUCUCCCAUUGAAAUUAGAGCAACCAAAUGGAGACAAAAGGAUUGUGAGACCAUCAUCAACAAGCUCAAAAUGAAACUAGACACUUGGGCUAGUCAUUAUCUCUCAUUUACAUGUAGAGCUCUCCUCAUUAACACUAUCUUGAUUGGAAUUCGUUGCUAGUGGAUGACAAUUUUUCAACUCCCUCAAAAGGUUACAAAGAGAUAGAUCGGAUAUGCAGGAAUUUUCUAUGGGGAGAAAAAGACAAUACAAGUAAAAUGCACAUGGCAUCUUGGGAACUUAUUUGUAAUCUGAAACAACUUGGAGGAUUGGAAUUUAGAGAGGGUCCUAAAUGGAACAAGGUAUUAUUAGCUAAAUACCUUUGGGCAAUUGAUUCUAAAUAAAAUGUGUUGUGGGUCAAAUAAGUGAAUAGCAUUUACCUAAAGGGCAAAGACAUUUGGUCUCUAGAGCUAAAAAAUGAUGUGAGUCGGUAUUGGAGAAAGCUCUUGAGACUUAGGAAUGUCUUCACCAAGGAGGACAUUGUUCAAGCAGAGGUCAAUGAAAAAUUUAAGAUUGGGAUAAUCUAUACUAAGCUUGUGAAUGGAGACCAAUAUGAGUUUAUGGCAGCAACAUAGUUCAAUCUUUCGGCCCCGAAGCAUAGAUUCAUUAUGUGGCAAGCUCUCACAACAAUCUCUUAACUAGAGAUAAUCUUGUUAGGAAACAUGUGCCAAUAGAUACAAGGUUUUGCUCUAUUUGUGAGUGGGAAUUUGAGUCACAUAACCAUUUAUUUUUUGACUGUCCUUACUCUUGGAGAAUCAUGCAACCGAUUAAGGAAUGGCUUGGUAGUCAACUUUGGCCUACCAAUUUCGAGGAUCUUCGGAUUUGGCUCAAGACAAAGAGAUCGAGAAGACUCAUUUGGGGUAUUUUCUUUGUUGUCGUAACAAGUAUAAUAUAUGGUAUAUAGCUGAAUCAGAAUACUUGUAUAUAUGAGAACAAAUACUUGAGUCCAAGAUGUGUAGAUGAUAGAAUUAAAUAAAGUCUAAUGUGUAGACUUAAUCUUGUUAAAGAAAGGAGUUAAUCUAGCAUAGAUAGAGUUGUUCUCAAUAAGAUAAAAAGGUUGUAAAAUAUUGUUUUGAGGAGUUUCCCCUUAGCUGUAAAUUUGUACAUGUUUGAUUAAUAAAAAAUAUUUUCUUAAUCAAAAAAAAA